rnacentral:rRNA from 1 species
GAUGAACGCUGGCGGCGUGCCUAAUACAUGCAAGUCGAGCGAACGGACGAGAAGCUUGCUUCUCUGAUGUUAGCGGCGGACGGGUGAGUAACACGUGGAUAACCUACCUAUAAGACUGGGAUAACUUCGGGAAACCGGAGCUAAUACCGGAUAAUAUUUUGAACCGCAUGGUUCAAAAGUGAAAGACGGUCUUGCUGUCACUUAUAGAUGGAUCCGCGCUGCAUUAGCUAGUUGGUAAGGUAACGGCUUACCAAGGCAACGAUGCAUAGCCGACCUGAGAGGAUGAUCAGCCACACUGGAACUGAGACACGGUCCAGACUCCUACGGGAGGCAGCAGUAGGGAAUCUUCCGCAAUGGGCGAAAGCCUGACGGAGCAACGCCGCGUGAGUGAUGAAGGUCUUCGGGUCGUAAAACUCUGUUAUUAGGGAAGAACAUAUGUGUAAGUAACUAUGCACAUCUUGACGGUACCUAAUCAGAAAGCCACGGCUAACUACGUG